UAUCACAUAGAGCCAAUGGUCCAGAUCAUUGAAAUUUACAAGAUGAGGAAGCGCAAGGCCAGAAUAGUUCAGCGAAUUGCCCCGAAAGUCAGUUAAAUGUAGGAGGAGCUUCAAGAUGGCGGAGGAGUAAGACGCGGAGAUCACCUUUCUCCCCACAAAUACAUCAGAAAUACAUCUACAUGUGGAACAACUCCUACAGAACACCUACUGA